UCUCUGGCAGUCCAGUGGUUAAGACUUGGCACUUUCACUGCCUGGGCCCAGGUUCAAUCCUUGGUCAGGGAA
rfam:TPA: Bos taurus chromosome 8, whole genome shotgun sequence.